UUAAGGCUGUUUAUUUAAGAUUAUUUCUCGGAAUUCUCCAAUAUUCAUUAGCAUCUUCUUGGUUUUGCCAAAGAAAAUAAUAGUAAACUAUAGAAAAUCUAUCCCGUGUAAAUUUUUUGACCACCUAAAAGGAUCCCCGCUUUUCGAGCGAGGAUCCAUCGGUGAAAUUACGCGUUGAAAUCUGGCCGAUCGCUUGGCUGUGUUGCAAAAUUUAAUUCGGCGGUUGCGACCCGGCUGAGCAACACAAUAUUAUUUUUGUUAUUCGCUCUUGUGACGGACGUAAUUCUGUUAUUUUUUUUAUUAUGGCUGUAGGCGAACUAGAAGAGAGAAUCCUACGUUAAAGAUGUUUAAAUUUCCUUAUAAAAAUCCAAGUAUUUGCGAACGUUGGAUUUUAAAUUGCGAAACCUGAUAUAAAAACAAACGAAUACUACAGAAAGCUUAUUUACCACAAUAACCUGCACUACGCAAAUGGUUCAUUAAAAAAUUUUAUGACAGUGGAAGAAGGGGUUCGACAAAUGACACAAAAUUACUUUGCUUUUCAUGCGGAUCCUCAAGCUGCUUAUUAUGCUAUUCAAAAUAAAUAUACAAAUGCACAAAAAUGCGCUUUAAGGAAAGUGGAGACUAUUUUUAAAACUGAACCUAUGUAUGUGUCUUUGCCCAAAAAUUCUACGUAUUAUGAAUUUCUCAUAAAAAGCAUAAGAAGAAUUCAAGAAGUUGGGCUUCUAGCCAGAGAGCAAAAAAUAUUUUUUAGUAAAAUGCCAAAAUGCAUGGGACAUAAGAAGAUGUUUUUUAACGUUGGUGUAAAAGAAUCUUACUUUGCCUUUUAUAUUUUUGGUACAGGCUAUGUUAUAAGUAUAAUCUUAUUAAUUUUAGAAAAUCUAAUUGCUUCAUAUAUCAAACGAAUGGACCAGAAUAAUGUCAAGAUUUUGGUAAAAACUAAAAUAUAAUAUUGAUGUUAGGAGUAGGA